rnacentral:rRNA from 1 species
UGCCUACGGGGGGCAGCAGUGAGGAAUAUUGGUCAAUGGCCGAGAGGCUGAACCAGCCAAGUCGCGUGAGGGAAGACGGCCCUACGGGUUGUAAACCUCUUUUGUCGGGGAGCAAAGCGAGUCACGUGUGACUCAUUGAGAGUACCCGAAGAAAAAGCAUCGGCUAACUCCGUGCCAGCAGCCGCGGUAAUACGGAGGAUGCGAGCGUUAUCCGGAUUUAUUGGGUUUAAAGGGUGCGCAGGCGGAGGUGCAAGCCAGCGGUAAAAUGUCCGGGCUCAACCCGGGCCGGCCGUUGAAACUGAGGG